rnacentral:rRNA from 3 species
UAAAGACUAUGACGUUGAUAGGCUGGGUGUGUAAGUGCGGUAACGUAUUGAGCUAACCAGUACUAAUUGCUCGUGAGGCUUAACUAUAUAACGCCCAAG